UAGUGCUUUGAAGGAGUUGGUGACUUGUAGUAGUGCUUUGAAGGAGUAGUUUUGUGCAGUCAAAUGACGUAGAUUCGUUUAAGAAAUUUCCAUCAAAAUCGUGUCCUCUAAGGUACGGGACAUCCGAGAUUAAGGAAGAUGCCCUAAUCCUGUUUCAAGCAGGAUUGCGUGAAUAUCUUGGCCUGCACAAUGUGAAGAUUUCUAGAAAUCAAAACAGUGGCUGGGGAAUAACUGGUCUUUUUGUUUUAGCCAGCAAAAUAAUAGCUAUACCAUCAGUAAGUUCCAAGUUAGUUGUAACUAUAAUCAAUUACAUUCCUAUCCUAUUUAUAUUCCAAUGUUUACAUCUCCAUAGAAAUUUUUUCCUGUCUACAGUAUAAGCCUCUGAGAUGUGUGAACCCAACAAACAAGUGGAAGCUAAUUGGUGUGGUUUUUGUUUGUUUUAAGAAGAUAUAUGAGAAAGGGAUUGCACAACUUCUUAAAAUCCCUUUUCUUGAUUGUUUCUUUCAGGUUGCAGUUCGGAUAAAAUCACUAAAUGACUUAACUUCUUAUUGCAGUUUAUUUUGUGAUGCUUUGCUUUUUCUAAUUGAUUUUCCUAAACUCCAUGACCCAUCCAAAUUGAAUUCAUUUGUUGUUGAUCUCAUUUUUGCCACUUGUCUUAUAGUUUCUCAACAGGUCUCUACUUCCAAAGGCAAUUAUUUUUUAGUUAAUGAGUUUCCAGUAUAAUGCAGUGUUGUUGUUGCUGAAAAUUCCUGUUGCGGUGUAUAUGCCUUAUAGAGUGUUUUUCUUUUUCAAAUAUGGAAUAUGUUUAUAUCUGCUGAUAUAUUACAGUGGUUAUGUUGUUGCAAGUUAAUAUGAAACUCUAUUCUAAUAUGAAGCAGUCCCUUUUUUAUGUAUAGUAUGUUCUAUUUUCAUUGGUUAUUUCCCGAUUUGAAUAAGUUUAGAUUUUUGGAGAAACUAUGGUCUGAAAUGUACUGUUAUUAAAACAUAUUCUUGAACAAAUGAAAAUUUAUGCAAUAUGUAAUGUCCCAUGUGCUAGAAGUUCCUUUAAGGUGAACUGUAUCACCUGUAUUCACCGAGUUACCUACAAAUUUAGUUGUGUGGAAGCAGAGAUAAACAAGCAGAUAAUUUUGGAUUAAAGUCUAUAAGGAUCAAAUAAAACAAGAGUAAGUUCCAUGAGAUCUGUUUAUGGUGAAUUAGAAUCCAAAAUACAUCCAAAUCACCUAAAGUUUACUUAGUUCAAGGUAAUUUGACGAGGAAAGGAUGAAAAAUUUUGUUUUCUCUGUACCUAAAUAAAGUAGUUUAAGUGGGUCAUGGCAAUGCAGUUAAGUGGUACUACUAAUGUGGUUCAAGGCAAUGCUGCUGAGUGGUACUACUAAUGAAGAUCUCCAAAUUUUCUCUUUCGCUAGUUGUUUCUGCCUAGUUAUUUGAUAUUUUAGUUAAAGAAAGCUUUGACAUGAAAGUGAAUUGUAUAAAGAACUUGAAAUGUCUUACGACAUCCAGAAUCUUGCUUGAGUAUAAGGAUUUAUGUUGUUUAGUUUUAACUGAGACUUCUUUUUCAUUAAAUUCAUGGUUGGUGUUCUACCUCUUGCUGUGCUUAGUGUCAUGGUAUUAAGUUCUGCUAAUUAAAUCUUUUUGCAGGGUACACGCUCUAUUAUGAAUUAUUUUCAUAACCAAGAGGAAACUUGCCCUCAGGUUAAACUUUCUAGCGGAAAACUAAUCCAAGUCGUGAAAAAUAUUAUUUUUUCAGGCGUUGUUGCUGGCAUGAAGUGGGUCUUGUGUAAUAAGAAAUUUUCCAAGAUAGUAUGGGUUUAUGAACCAAAAGAAUCGUCUGAACCAAUAAACAUCAGGACUGAGACUGACAUUAAAUGAGCAUCUUUGAUUCUAUUUCUCCUUUUACUGUUAGUUUACCAAAUAAGAAUGGAAAACAGCUUGGAUUUUGGUGGCAGUUACAUCCUUAACGCAUCUGCCAAGUGAUGCGGUCAGUGAACCAAUUUCGCCGCUGGAUGCAAGGAGAUCACGUGAUGAUAGUGAUCCUAAUGACAGUCGUUGAUUUCAUUGCAAAUUGUCUUGGAUGUAAUUGUGAAUCUUAGAAUACUGAAGCUUUUGUGUUUAAAUUUGAUUUUGAAGUUUGAAGAUACUAGUUAAUGUUGAAAAAUUGGAGUUUGGAGAUGUUAAUGUUGAAUAUUUAAUUUUGAAGUUUAAUGAUAAAUGUAUUUUUGACAUGUUUUUCAA